rnacentral:rRNA from 1 species
AUUGAACGCUGGCGGCAUGCUUUACACAUGCAAGUCGAACGGUAACAGGCCGCAAGGUGCUGACGAGUGGCGAACGGGUGAGUAAUGCAUCGGAACGUGCCCAGUCGUGGGGGAUAACGCAGCGAAAGCUGCGCUAAUACCGCAUACGAUCUAUGGAUGAAAGCGGGGGUCCGUAAGGCCUCGCGCGAUUGGAGCGGCCGAUGUCAGAUUAGGUAGUUGGUGGGGUAAAGGCUCACCAAGCCAACGAUCUGUAGCUGGUCUGAGAGGACGACCAGCAACACUGGGACUGAGACACGGCCCAGACUCCUACGGGAGGCAGCAGUGGGGAAUUUUGGACAAUGGGCGCAAGCCUGAUCCAGCAAUGCCGCGUGCAGGAAGAAGGCCUUCGGGUUGUAAACUGCUUUUGUACGGAACGAAACGGUCCUGGUUAAUACCUGGGGCUAAUGACGGUACCGUAAGAAUAAGCACCGGCUAACUACGUGCCAGCCGCCGCGGUAAUAC